ACGCUAGCUACAGGCUUAACACAUGCAAGUCGAGGGGAAACGGCAUUAAGUGCUUGCACUUUUUGGACGUCGACCGGCGCACGGGUGAGUAACGCGUAUCCAACCUUCCCAUGACUAAGGGAUAACCUGCCGAAAGGCAGACUAAUACCUUAUGGUCUUCACUGACGGCAUCAGAUGUGAAGUAAAGAUUUAUCGGUUAUGGAUGGGGAUGCGUCUGAUUAGUUAGUUGGCGGGGUAACGGCCCACCAAGGCAACGAUCAGUAGGGGUUCUGAGAGGAAGGUCCCCCACAUUGGAACUGAGACACGGUCCAAACUCCUACGGGAGGCAGCAGUGAGGAAUAUUGGUCAAUGGGCGAGAGCCUGAACCAGCCAAGUAGCGUGCAGGACGACGGCCCUAUGGGUUGUAAACUGCUUUUGUAUGGGGAUAAAGUCAAUCACGUGUGAUUGUUUGCAGGUACCAUACGAAUAAGGACCGGCUAAUUCCGAGCCAGCAGCCGCGGUAAUACGGAAGGUCCGGGCGUUAUCCGGAUUUAUUGGGUUUAAAGGGAGCGUAGGCUGGAGAUUAAGUGUGUUGUGAAAUGUAGACGCUCAACGUCUGACUUGCAGCGCAUACUGGUUUCCUUGAGUACGCACAACGUUGGCGGAAUUCGUCGUGUAGCGGUGAAAUGCUUAGAUAUGACGAAGAACUCCGAUUGCGAAGGCAGCUGACGGGAGCGCAACUGACGCUGAAGCUCGAAGGUGCGGGUAUCGAACAGGAUUAGAUACCCUGGUAGUCCGCUCAGUAAACGAUGGAUGCCCGCUGUUGGUACCUGGUAUCAGCGGCUAAGCGAAAGCAUUAAGCAUCCCACCUGGGGAGUACGCCGGCAACGGUGAAACUCAAAGGAAUUGACGGGGGCCCGCACAAGCGGAGGAACAUGUGG
rnacentral:rRNA from 1 species